CUGUGAUUGGCUCCCACAGCGGCGGUCUGUCCCACUAUGCGGCGGAGCAGCGGGGCGGUUGCUCUCUCGUUUACACACUUUUUGUUGUAUUAAACGGUGUUUUCAACAUUUGGACCAACGCUAACGGCGACAUCUUGAAUGUUCGCCUUCACGGAUUUCAGCUGAUCCGGAUCACUGACCACUUCCGGUUGGGAGAUGAACGCUGAGAUGAGCUUCAGUUAAGGUCGAGUCUCACUGCACGAGAUCAGCAGAGUACAGACAUACAGGUAGAGAGACAGACAGGUAGAGAGACAGACAGGUAGAGAGACAGACAGGUAGAGAGACAGACAGGUAGAGAGACAGAGUGAGUGAGACAGACAGACAGGCAGGUAGAGAGACAGACAGGUAGAGAGUGAGACAGG